GAUGAACGCUAGCUACAGGCUUAACACAUGCAAGUCGAGGGGCAGCAUGGUCUUAGCUUGCUAAGGCCGAUGGCGACCGGCGCACGGGUGAGUAACACGUAUCCAACCUGCCGUCUACUCUUGGACAGCCUUCUGAAAGGAAGAUUAAUACAAGAUGGCAUCAUGAGUCCACAUGUUCACAUGAUUAAAGGUAUUCCGGUAGACGAUGGGGAUGCGUCCCAUUAGCUUGUUGGUGAGGUAACGGCUCACCAAGGCAUCGAUGGGUAGGGGUUCUGAGAGGAAGGUCCCCCACAUUGGAACUGAGACACGGUCCAA
rnacentral:rRNA from 1 species